rnacentral:rRNA from 1 species
UACAGAGGGGGCAAGCGUUGUUCGGAAUUACUGGGCGUAAAGGGCGCGUAGGCGGUCCUGAUCGUCGGAUGUGAAAGGCCUGGGCUCAACCUGGGAAUGGCAUCCGAUACGGCGGGACUGGAGUGUGGGAGAGGUUGGUGGAAUUCCCAGUGUAGAGGUGAAAUUCGUAGAUAUUGGGAAGAACACCGGUGGCGAAGGCGGCCAACUGGACCACAACUGACGCUGAGGCGCGAAAGCGUGGGGAGCAAACAGG